GACGAACGCUGGCGGCGUGCUUAACACAUGCAAGUCGAACGGAAAGGCCCUGCUUUUGUGGGGUGCUCGAGUGGCGAACGGGUGCGUAACACGUGAGUAACCUGCCCUUGACUUUGGGAUAACUUCAGGAAACUGUGGCUAAUACCGGAUAGGAGCUCCUGCUUCAUGGUGGGGGUUGGAAAGUUUCGGCGGUUGGGGAUGGACUCGCGGCUUAUCAGCUUGUUGGUGGGGUAGUGGCUUACCAAGGCUUUGACGUGUAGCCGGCCUGAGAGGGUGACCGGCCUCAUUGGGACUGAGAUACGGCCCAGACUCCUACGGGAGGCAGCAGUGGGGAAUAUUGCACAAUGGGCGGAAGCCUGAUGCAGCAACGCCGCGUGCGGGAUGACGGCCUUCGGGUUGUAAACCGCUUUCGCCUGUGACGAAGCGUGAGUGACGGUAAUGGGUAAAGAAGCACCGGCUAACUACGUG
rnacentral:rRNA from 1 species